GCGUGCUUAACACAUGCAAGUCGAACGAUGAAGCCUGAUUACUUUGGUUUUUGGGUGGAUUAGUGGCGAACGGGUGAGUAAUACGUGGGUAACCUGCCCUCCUUUUUGGGAUAAGCCUUGGAAACGGGGUCUAAUACCGAAUAUUCUGGAUGAUUCGCAUGGAUUGUUUGGGAAAGCUUUUGUGUGAAGGGGGAUGGGCUCGCGGCCUAUCAGCUUGUUGGUGGGGUGAUGGCCUACCAAGGCGGUGACGGGUAGCCGGCCUGAGAGGGUGACCGGCCACAUUGGGACUGAGAUACGGCCCAGACUCCUACGGGAGGCAGCAGUGGGGGAUAUUGCACAAUGGGCGAAAGCCUGAUGCAGCGACGCCGCGUGGGGGAUGAAGGCUUUCGGGUUGUAAACCUCUUUCGCUAUCGAACAAGGCCUGCUUUUGGUGGGUUGAGGGUAGGUGGAGAAGAAGCGCCGGCUAACUACGUGCCAGCAGCCGCGGUAAUACGUAGGGCGCGAGCCGUUGUCCGGAAUUAUUGGGCGUAAA
rnacentral:rRNA from 1 species